CAUUAUCAGUUUGUGUUUAAUCAUUGGCAGUGUGAUACAUACAAGUCACAGGCUCAAUAACUAAUAGUAAAAAUGACAUCCCAAUUUAAGUACAUAUCCUUGAUCGUUCUACUCGGUGCUGCUGCAUCCGCCCUUCAACCAGGCUCCAGAACUAGAUUGAGUGCCCAAAAGCAUUUCAAUCGUGAUGGUCGAUCCCUACCAACACUUUUCCAUUCAAUGCUGGAGAAAGUGAUGCUGAUCACGAACACCAUGAACACGAACAUCAUGCUGCUUCUGUUGCAGUAACUUCUGCAUCUGAUGGUAGAGUUGCUCGUCAAGGUGAAACUGACGAUGUUACUUCAGACAUUGAUCCAUUGCUGCUGCUGGAGAACGUUGUAUCGAUAAAGUUGUCAUGGUUACAGAAACUGAAUAUGAUGAUCACAUUGAAUGUCACCACAGUUAUAGUGAAAGAUGCCAUACCACCUACAUUACUGACUUGAGCCUCAACAAGAGGAAGAGUGUGAAGAAAACUUCAAAAGAGCUGCUUCAUUGAGUAUAAGAAAGUUGCUGUUGAUGAAACUGUCAAAUUUUGCCACACUCCUUUGUCUGCGAAGGUGAAGGACCUGAAGAGUGCAAAACUGUUUACGAAACAGAAUGUGAAACUAGGU
rnacentral:lncRNA from 1 species